rnacentral:tRNA from 1 species
GGCUACGUAGCUCAGUUGGUUAGAGCACAUCACUCAUAAUGAUGGGGUCACAGGUUCGAAUCCCGUC